rnacentral:rRNA from 1 species
GUGCCAGCCGCCGCGGUAAGACGUAGGGCGCGAGCGUUGUCCGGAAUUAUUGGGCGUAAAGAGCUCGUAGGCGGCUUGUCGCGUCGACUGUGAAAACCCGUGGCUCAACCAUGCGGUCUGCAGUCGAUACGGGCAGGCUAGAAUUCGGUAGGGGAGACUGGAAUUCCUGGUGUAGCGGUGAAAUGCGCAGAUAUCAGGAGGAACACCGGUGGCGAAGGCGGGUCUCUGGGCCGAUAUUGACGCUGAGGAGCGAAAGCGUGGGGAGCGAACAGGAUUAGAAACCCCCGUAGUCC